rnacentral:rRNA from 1 species
UGAGGAAUAUUGGUCAAUGGACGAGAGUCUGAACCAGCCAAGUAGCGUGAAGGAUGACUGCCCUAUGGGUUGUAAACUUCUUUUAUACGGGAAUAAAGUGAUCCACGUGUGGAUUUUUGUAUGUACCGUAUGAAUAAGGAUCGGCUAACUCCGUGCCAGCAGCCGCGGUAAUACGGAGGAUCCGAGCGUUAUCCGGAUUUAUUGGGUUUAAAGGGAGCGUAGGUGGAUUGUUAAGUCAGUUGUGAAAGUUUGCGGCUCAACCGUAAAAUUGCAGUUGAUACUGGCAGUCUUGAGUACAGUAGAGGUGGGCGGAAUUCGUGGUGUAGCGGUGAAAUGCUUAGAUAUCACGAAGAACUCCGAUUGCGAAGGCAGCUCACUGGACUGCAACUGACACUGAUGCUCGAAAGUGUGGGUAUCAAACAGGAUUAGAUACCCUGGUAGUCCACACAGUAAACGAUGAAUACUCGCUGUUUGCGAUAUACGGUAAGCGGCCAAGCGAAAGCGUUAAGUAUUCCACCUGGGGAGUACGCCGGCAACGGUGAAACUCAAAGGAAUUGACGGGGGCCCGCACAAGCGGAGGAACAUGUGGUUUAAUUCGAUGAUACGCGAGGAACCUUACCCGGGCUUAAAUUACAUUUGAAUAAUCUGGAAACAGUUUAGCCGUAAGGCAAAUGUGAAGGUGCUGCAUGGUUGUCGUCAGCUCGUGCCGUGAGGUGUCGGCUUAAGUGCCAUAACGAGCGCAACCCUUAUCUUCAGUUACUAACAGGUCAUGCUGAGGACUCUGGAGAGACUGCCGUCGUAAGAUGUGAGGAAGGUGGGGAUGACGUCAAAUCAGCACGGCCCUUACGUCCGGGGCUACACACGUGUUACAAUGGGGGGUACAGAAGGCAGCUACCUGGUGACAGGAUGCUAAUCCCAAAAACCUCUCUCAGUUCGGAUCGAAGUCUGCAACCCGACUUCGUGAAGCUGGAUUCGCUAGUAAUCGCGCAUCAGCCAUGGCGCGGUGAAUACGUUCCC